rnacentral:rRNA from 1 species
AGAGUUUGAUCCUGGCUCAGGACGAACGCUGGCGGCGGGCUUAACACAUGCAAGUCGAACGAGAAGCUCCAGCUUGCUGGAGGGGACAGUGGCGCACGGGUGAGUAACGCGUAGGCAACCUGCCCUUUAGUGUGGAAUAACUUCGGGAAACCGGAACUAAUACCGCAUAAUAUCCUAGACGCAUGGUUCUUGGAUCAAAGUCUUCGGACGCUAUCGGAUGGGCCUGCGUUGGAUUAGGCAGUUGGUGAGGUAACGGCUCACCAAACCUACGAUCCAUAGCUGGUCUGAGAGGAUGAUCAGCCACACUGGCACUGAGACACGGGCCAGACUCCUACGGGAGGCAGCAGUGAGGAAUAUUGCGCAAUGGGCGAAAGCCUGACGCAGCCACGCCGCGUGAAGGAUGACCCCCCUAUGGGGCGUAAACUUCUUUUAUGAGAGAAGAAAAACCCGGCUCGGUCGGGCCUGACGGUAUCAUAUGAAUAAGCACCGGCUAACUCCGUGCCAGCAGCCGCGGUAAUACGGAGGGUGCAAGCGUUGUCCGGAAUCACUGGGUGUAAAGGGUGUGUAGGCGGGAUUGUAAGUCAGAGGUGAAAUCCUGCAGCUCAACUGUAGAACUGCCUUUGAUACUGCAAUUCUUGAGUUUCGGAGAGGUCAUUAGAAUUCGUGGUGUAGCGGUGAAAUGCGUAGAUAUCACGAGGAAUACCAGAGGCGUAGGCGGAUGACUGGACGAAUACUGACGCUGAGGCACGAAAGCGUGGGGAGCAAACAGGAUUAGAUACCCUGGUAGUCCACGCCGUAAACGAUGGAUACUCGGUGUUGCUGGGUUUUACCGGCAGUGCCUAAGCUAACGCAUUAAGUAUCCCACCUGGGGAGUACGAUCGCAAGGUUGAAACUCAAAGGAAUUGACGGGGGCCCGCACAAGCGGUGGAGCAUGUUGCUUAAUUCGAUGCAACGCGAGGAACCUUACCUGGGCUCGAACGCUACCGGACAGUCCCUGAAAGGGGAUCUCCUUCGGGCUGGUAGUGAGGUGCUGCAUGGCUGUCGUCAGUUCGUGUCGUGAGAUGUUGGGUUAAGUCCCGCAACGAACGCAACCCCUAUCGUUAGUUACCAGCGGAUUAUGCCGGGGACUCUAGCGAGACUGCCUGCGCAAGCAGUGAGGAAGGUGGGGAUGACGUCAAGUCAUCAUGGCCCUUAUGCCCAGGGCUGCAAACGUGCUACAAUGGCCGGUACAAUGGGCUGCCACUUCGCAAGAAGGAGCGAAUCCAUAAAGCCGGUCUCAGUUCGGAUCGGAGUCUGCAACUCGACUCCGUGAAGUCGGAAUCGCUAGUAAUCGCGUAUCAGCAAUGACGCGGUGAAUACGUUCCCGGGCCUUGUACACACCGCCCGUCAAGCCAUGGAAGCCGGGGGUGCCCGAAGUCCGUGACCUAACCCUUCGGGGAUGGAGCGGCCGAAGGCAAAUCUGGUGACUGGGGCUAAGUCGUAACAAGGUAACCGUA